CAGGUGUUGCAGUGGCAGUAUCAUAACCAAUGAAGUUAAUCUGAGGUAUGAUUAUUGCUAGUUGAAAAUUUUUUUCCACACAUAGUUGCUUUAUUUGUGUGUUUGUGUUUAUAAGCUGACAGUAUGAAGGCUCUUAAAUAUUAGACCAAUAAUUAUU
rnacentral:snRNA from 1 species